rnacentral:lncRNA from 10 species
UUCUGUAAGAUAAAAAAAAAAAAAGACUUUCAAUUUCCAGUAACAAUUUAUAUUUUAAUAUUGGCUAAAUGUAUCUGUUUUUCAAUAAAAUUUCCCUUAGGUAUAUAAAAGCUCCUGAUGAAUUACAAGUGAACACACAGAAAAAUGUGGUAUCUAUAUACGGAAGUCACUGCACAUGUCAGAGAAAUACUGAUCAUGGUUUACAUCGUCAUUCAAAAAGUCAUUGGACAGCCCAGCAAAAUUCUUAGACCUCAAAUUUACUAUGCAUUCAACAUUGCAUUCAUUUUUCACAGAUGCUGCUUGUGAUAAGGCCUAUUCUGCUGUCCAUGACUGCCAUAUCCCAACGAAACUGCUAGUUAUCAAGCAGCUAAUUCAACAGAAUUUGGCUCUUGUUGUCCAGGCUGGAGUGCAAUAGCAUGAUCUCAGCACACUGCAAACCCCGCCUCCCAGGUUCAAGCGAUUCUCCUGCCUCAGCCUCCCGAGUAGCUGGGAUUACAGGUGUGUGCCACCACACCCAGCUAAUUAUUUUUUGUAUUUUUAGUAGAGAUGGGGUUUCACCAUGCUGGUCAGGCUGGUCUCAAACUGACCUCAGGUGAUCCACCUGCCUUUGCCUCCCAAAAUGCUGGGAUUACAGCCAUGAACCACCACAACCGGCCACUCACUGAACUUCGACUCUGUUCCAGGAACUACAAUAUACUUAAUGGAGUUUACCAAGAUUAGUUUUGCUGUAUUCAUCACUUUCAAAUACUUUAUUCUAUAGACUGAGCGAGACUGAAUCCUUGCUGUGGAAUUACCAAGUUCUGUUAAUGGACAAUUAUUUAACCCUGAAGAAAACAAAAAAAUUGAAAAUAAAAUGUCUGACA